rnacentral:rRNA from 1 species
UACGUAGGUGGCAAGCGUUGUCCGGAUUUACUGGGCGUAAAGGGAGCGUAGGUGGAUAUUUAAGUGGGAUGUGAAAUACUCGGGCUUAACCUGGGUGCUGCAUUCCAAACUGGAUAUCUAGAGUGCAGGAGAGGAAAGUAGAAUUCCUAGUGUAGCGGUGAAAUGCGUAGAGAUUAGGAAGAAUACCAGUGGCGAAGGCGACUUUCUGGACUGUAACUGACACUGAGGCU